AACUGCUAUGGUCAUAUUACCCCAAUUAGGGCGCCCCCAAAUCUCUCACUACACUUUAGAUCUGUCUGUAUAUACCUAUUUCUCUUAGAAAACUUAGGGUACUUUUUGCAUUUAUCGUUGCACAGAAGUUUUCGACAUAUUCUCGAUUUAAACUAUGCAGCGCCCUUUCGUUGUUAUACAUGGGGCAUUCCUGAAUUAUGUGCCGAAUGGUUACAGUAGUCCCACAUCGUUCGCACUGUCGGGCAAUCUCACCCUUAAGAAUGUGUUGGUGCGUUAUCUGCGCAUGCCCUAUUCGCAGUCGGUGCAUUUUUACAUUUUCUUCCCUAGUGGCCUGGUCUAACACAUAGAGUUUCCGUACAUCUGGUUUUAUUCGGGUCAGGUAUUCUCCUAAGUCCAACGGAUGUAUAAGGUUAACAUCAAUGUGAUUACUUAACGCAGCCUGGCAUGCAGCAUGGUCUGCUUGAUCGUUUCCAGAACUUGAGAAUGGACUGGCAUCUUUUCGUCAUCGCACCAACAGGAUAUAUUUCAGAGAUCCCAUUCACUGCUUCCAUACAAUCUGUGACGAUGAUAACAUUUUGUCUAUCGCCGAUGGAGCAAUAUAACAACGCCUGCCACAGCGCAUAUUGUUCGGCAAAGCGAAUUGAGGACCACGAACAUAAACUCCAUUCAUAGGACUCUUCUCCAAUCACCAUCGCACUUCCAACACCACUCUCCGUUCUAGACCCGUCAGUAUAGAUGAUUUCAUACGAAGGAUAUU